AGGAACUUUUGACAGGCACAGCAUGCAGUAUGGAUGUCGCGGAUUGUUCUGGGCGAUCCCACUAUCUUUGCCUGUUUCUGCUGAGGCCUCAGGAUCUUCAUUUGGGACCUCCACUGCUGGGACUGUCAUCUGAAGUCACCUUGGCCUUCAGCAUCUUUGUGAAGUUAGACAAGAAGAAUGACCUUUAAUGAGCAAAAAAAUCGACAACGAAGUCUGCUGGCAUUUAUAGGUCCGUCCCUGAGGAGGGGGGAGAUGAGAAGACAGGGACUGAAGACAGCGGGCUUUAGGGAAAAGGACCUUCAAGUCAGAAUGGAACAUAGAGGAACAGAAUCAUUAUGGAAAGUCUACAACCAAAGUUUUAUUUCAUGCAUGCAUAAUCCUGGGUUUAUUACAGCCCCCAAUUCAUAUUUUACAAAGAGACAAGUUCAAUGACUGAUUCUUUGCCAUAUACUUAAUGAGCUGAUGCAUAUAUCCCAAUUUACCCAAGUCAUCAGAUGGCAAAUGUUUUAUUUAGCCUGAACCA